rnacentral:rRNA from 1 species
AGCUCCAGUAGCGUAUAUUAAAGUUGUUGCAGUUAAAAAGCUCGUAGUUGGAUUUCUGGCUCGGAAGCGCUGAUCCGCCCUUAGUGGUGAGUGUCGGUUUUGCUUUCUGCCAUCCUUCCACAAAGUCUUUCUACCAUUCACUUGGACGGAUUGGCGAUGUGGAACUUUUACUUUGAAAAAAUUAGAGUGUUCAAAGCAGGCGUUUGCCAUUGAAUACAUUAGCAUGGAAUAAUAAUUUAGGACUUUGGUUCUAUUUUGUUGGUUUUCAGAUCCGAAGUAAUGAUUGAUAGGGAUAGUUGGGGGUGCUAGUAUUAAAUGGCCAGAGGUGAAAUUCUCGGAUUCAUUUAAGACUAACUUAUGCGAAAGCAUUCACCAAGGAUGUCUUCUUUA